UACGUAGGGGGCAAGCGUUGUCCGGAAUCAUUGGGCGUAAAGAGCGUGUAGGCGGCUCGAUAAGUCUGCUGUGAAAGUCCAGGGCUCAACCCUGGAAGGCCGGUGGAAACUGUCGGGCUAGAGUCCGGAAGAGGCGAGUGGAAUUCCUGGUGUAGCGGUGAAAUGCGCAGAUAUCAGGAGGAACACCGAUGGCGAAGGCAGCUCGCUGGGACGGUACUGACGCUGAGACGCGAAAGCGUGGGGAGCAAACAGG
rnacentral:rRNA from 1 species